AUCUCUAUUCUAAUGCAAGUUCUCCUAACCUAGUGUUAUUGAUCCAAUUUGAAUGUUUACAAUGUUCAUUUCAUGGCUAUUUACAUUAUCCAUCCGCCAAGAAAUAGUUCUUUUACCUGAAGUCCAAGUUAAGAUUGCGUGAAUUAAUUUUUUAUUUCAAAGUAUGAGAGGUUAAAAACUAUACUUUCAAGAAAAUUCUCAAUUUAUUAAACAAGAAAUAAUAAAAGUUUUCUACGUAAAUUCCAAAUCCCCUCGGAUAUUUUUAGAAUAUGAUCAAGUGUCAUGGCCGAUCACGAAUUCGGACGAAGGAGAUGAACAACAAAGUCUAUGGCUGUGCAGCGUUCCCUGUAAUGUUGUAAUUGAAGACUUGGACAGUUGAAUUAUGGACCUCAAACUGCUUGUUAUACAGAACAGGUGCUAGAUAAAAAUGGAAGUCUCGAAAACUCCGUAAAACUAAGCAGCAUGCAAAUGAUGAACAUAUAACAUACAAUUACAACACAUGAUUCAAUUGGAUGUGGGAAAUACAAAUAACAGGCAAUAUUGGAAGACGAGACAGAAGAAAACAUCAAAAUGUUUAUAUCGUUUUUUUGACACAACAAAAUCUAUAAAUAGAAUGGACCAGUUGCUCAAGAUAAAGUGUUAUGAAACAUGUGCAUAUACAUGUAUGCUAAUAACCAUUAUAGAAAGUGAGGAAGUUUUAUAAUUGGUAGUUGAAUUGAUUGUGGAUUUCAAGGCAUCUAAUACUAUUAGGAAGAUACUUGUGCAAACAUGAUGUUGGGAUGUAUAACGGUAUUUUUAAUUCAGCAAAUUUCAUGAAAUUAUUAGUGAACAGAAAUUUUCAUCUUAUGCAUGCGGAAAUAUAAGACGAAAACAUAAUGUAAAAUUGUACAAUAAACACCCGCAAUUGCACCCAUUUAGCGUUUGCAAUGUAAAAAGUUUAGUCUUUUGGACGGGAUUCCAUGACCAAAAUAGACAGUAAGCAGUGAAAGUGGAUAGCUGGAUAGAUUUUGAUUAUGACUAUAUUUCAUUUCUUUGUCUUACUUUUUUUUGAAGAGGAAAAGAAAUAUAUACAAAUCUUUAUA